rnacentral:rRNA from 1 species
AUGUGGUGGCGGCAUUACCCCCGCAACCACGUGGGCGAUGACAAGACGCAGUUCGUUGCCGUCGCCACCGGUGGUUUCAGGCGCAGCAUGUGCAUACCGUGGGAGGUUGCAAACCAUUUGGGGAGCAUGAUCUCCGAGACCAUCAAACUAGAAGCUCCUAAUGGCAUAUUCCUUAUUGGAGUGUGUAGAAAGACGGGUGAGCUAGUUCUUCGGGCUGGCUGGGAUAAGUUUGUCGCAAUGCAUCACAUAAAAGAAAAUUAUUCUUUUUGGUUUGUGUACCGUGGGAACUCUACCUUUAAGGUUCAUAUAUUCAAUUCUAACGGUCAUGAGAAGGCUACUUCCUGUUCUAAACCACCUUCUGAGAGCUUUGGUGGUGUUCCACCUGCUGCAACUUGCGAUCAUCAUGUGCUGAAUGAACAAGUACCGUCUGUUUCUGGAAAUGUUCAGACCUCAACUGACUCUGGCUAUAGCAUGUUACCUGGCUGCCAUCUAACCAAAGCACAAGAUGAGAAAGUACGUGAACUAGCUUGUACCAUGAGAUCUCAAGUUCCCCUUUAUGUGGCAGUCAUGAACAAAAGCAAUGUCAACUUGAAGGAUUGCUCUGUUAACCUACCGUUAAAGCUUGUGGAACAUUUCAAGGAGGACACAUCUAAAGCUACUAUUCAACUAGAAGCCCCUAAUGACAUGAUAUAUGGUGUUGAAGCUUGCAAGCAUGGUGAUGAUCAAAUAGUCCUUCAAUAUGGGUGGAAUAAUCUUGUAGAUGCUAAUCGCAUACAAGAGAAUGACCUCCUUGUUUUUAUAACCAAGGGUACCAAACGCCUUGAAGUUCGUAUUCUUGGCACAAGUGUUCAUCAGAGAACCUCUUCAUGCUUUGACGUGGGAAAUAUUUCUAGUACUCAAGAAAUUCGUGAAGAUUCACUUGAAAUAACUGAUCCACCCCCUCAUACAGACUACUAUGUGAGUAGUUCUGAUGAUGAUCACAUUAUGGAAGAAGGAUACUAUGUGAGUAGUUCUGAUGAUGAUCACAUUGCGGAAGAAGACUAUGUGAGUAGUUCUGAUGCUGAUCACAUUGUGGAAGAAGGCACUAGAAAAUCAGGUAGGCGGCAGAAGCAGGCACCUAGUCGCUAUGCAAAAGCUCAAAAGGUGGCUUCAACAUCCUCCCCGUCUGCUGCUAAAUCAGGUUAUAGUGCUAUAUAUACGAGAUAUGAAGCUCACAAGCUGAAUGAGCGAGCAUCUGUGGAGUUUGGGAUCAAUUUGGAACCUCAUAGCUCCACCAGCAAUCUCGAGGGCCCUUCCCAGUAUCCCUACGUUUUAUCUGAAGGAAGGACAAGUCUAAGUAGUGUGGAGAAGGAGAAAGUUGAGGAGAAAGUUCAAGCAAUUCAAUCUGAACUUCCUAUCUUUGUGGUAGUAAUGACUAAAAGCCGGAUUAAUGCCGAUCAAUUGGGCUUCCGCAUGGAAUACGGUGCAAGACAUAUUCCACACUUAGGCAGAAAAAUGGAUCUCAUGCUUCAGGCAGAGGGAGGUACCGAGCAGCGCACCAGAUUGGUGAUAGAUCAGAACGGAAAGAGGUGGAUUCGUCGUGGCUGGCAGCAAUUUGUCACCGAGAAUAAAGUGCGGGAGGGGGAUAUCUGCCUCUUUGAACGGGGAGAGAGCACGAAAAAGCUCAGGAUGACGGUCUAUUUCAUCCGCAAGUCAAGUCAGACAUAG